AAGCCGGGAAGAGGCGCUGUUCUCUUCGGGGUCUGCACGCCGGGCCCGGGCAGGGUCCCUCGUGGGCCCCUCCGCCACCCCCACCCCUUCCUCCGUCCGCCUUAGGUCUAGAGCUGACGCCAAGAACUGGAAAGCUCGUUGAGUAGGAAAAGCAAAGACUAGACCGUCUGUUACAGAGUUAGCCUGUUGGCCUCCAGAGUUCCUGGACUGCUGCGCCCAUGAUGGCCGCCAAAGCUGCACCCAUGGCGACUCUUCCUGCUGAAGCAAAGCCCCGCAGGACAAUAAGGAAUCUGGGAGUGGCUCGACUGGACCCUUUAGUCUCUUGGACUGGACGAGCUGACAGUCCAGCUGAUUGAUGGCCAGGGCUGUGGUCGUCUGAAGCUUGACUGGUGCUGGAGGACCUGCGUCGCAUCCAGGGUGGAGAACUCACGCAGCUGUUGCCAGGAGGCCUCAGCUCCUCCUCACGUGUGCCCUUCCCCAGAGCCAGUGACCAGAGGGCAGGAGCCACAGCCUUUUCUAUCCUCAACUCAGAAUUGACCGUCACCUCUGCCAAAUUGGUUGCCAAAACCCACCCUUGGACAAUGUGGGAGGGACUGGCUGGGGUAUGAAUUAUCAGGUGACGGGGUCAUGGAGGGCCAGCUUGGCUGCUGAGCAUAUUGAUGAUUGUAUUGAGAUCUGCUCAGCAAGACGUAUCCAGGCAGCUCCUCAUGGCUCCUGACCACAUGGACCAGGCCCAGGCCCAGCCUUCACAGCCACACUGAUCAACUCAGGAACAGAAAGUCAAACCUGUUAAGUCCGUCCUCUCGAUUUGUAUUUGGAGAAGAGACUUUGCCCAGAGCUAGAAGGCUGAACUGUGAAGACAGCUGUUAGCAUCUUUCCACCUGGUGAGGACGCCAGCCAUGGCUGAAGAGGACCAGGCCCACAGAGUGGAAAAGAAGGCAGGAGAUAAGCGUCCCAGAACCAGGCCUGCGUCCCUAGAUCCAGUCCCUUGAAGGGGCAUGUUCCCUUUCAUUUCCUUGUCAUGAGCCAAUCCCCUUUUUACUAUGUUGCCUGACUAAGUCCAUUAGCCACUGGGCUGCUCACACUGGCCGGAGGCCGGGGACCUUCCUGAACAUCCCUGGUAAGGGUUCAGAAGCCUCAUAUGGGUUCAGCUCCUAGGAAAGAAGGAUCAUCUCUGGGCAUCAAUUGAUAGCCUAUUCCGAAAAGUAACUAGUUUGAGGUGUCUCUGGUCCCAGAGAAUAUUCCUUAGGGGAAUGAUACGCUAUUUGAAGCGAGAAAGGGUUUGCUGGUCUGUGGCUGGUCUCCCAGUUUUAUUUUUACUUAUUUUUUGAGACAGAGUUUCGCUCUUAUUGCCCAGGCUGCAGUGCAAUGGUGCAUUCUUGGCUCAUCACUGCAAUCUCCGUCUCUGGGGUUCAAGUG